CAAGUCGAGCGAGGCGGCCCGCAAGGGUCAGUCGAGCGGCGAACGGGUGAGUAACGCGUGGAUUAUCUACCCUGAGGUGGGGGAUAACCCGGGGAAACUCGGGCUAAUACCGCAUGAUACCGUGAGGUCAAAGGGGGCUCGCAAGGGCUCUCGCCAUAGGAGGAGUCCGCGUCCGAUUAGCUAGUUGGUAGGGUAAUGGCCUACCAAGGCAACGAUCGGUAGCCGGCCUGAGAGGGUGAUCGGCCACACUGGAACUGAGACACGGUCCAGACUCCUACGGGAGGCAGCAGUGGGGAAUUUUGCGCAAUGGGCUAACGCCUGACGCAGCAACGCCGCGUGGAGGAUGAAGGUCUUUGGAUUGUAAACUCCUGUCGACCGGGAAAAAGCGACCCGACCUAAUACGUCGGGGAGUUGAUUGUACCGGUGGAGGAAGCCCCGGCUAACUCUGUGCCAGCAGCCGCGGUAAUACAGAGGGGGCAAGCGUUAUUCGGAAUUAUUGGGCGUAAAGGGCGCGUAGGCGGCCUGGCAAGUGGAAGGUGAAAUCCCUCGGCUUAACCGAGGAACUGCCCUCCAAACUGCUUGGCUUGAGUCCGGGAGAGGUGAGUGGAAUUCCCAGUGUAGCGGUGAAAUGCGUAGAUGUUGGGAGGAACACCAGUGGCGAAGGCGGCUCACUGGACCGGAACUGACGCUGAGGCGCGAAAGCGUGGGGAGCAAACGGGAUUAGAUACCCCGGUAGUCCACGCCGUAAACGAUGAGUGCUUGGUGUAGCGGGUAUCGACCCCUGCUGUGCCGAAGUCAACACAUUAAGCACUCCGCCCUGGGGAGUACGGUCGCAAGGCUGAAACUCAAAGGAAUUGAUGGGGGGCCCGCACAAGCGGUGGA
rnacentral:rRNA from 1 species